ensembl:lincRNA
AUGUCAAAGCCGUUCAUCUGCCGUCAACUCACUCCCAUCCCAGCACAAUGGGGGUGGGGGAGGAGUGGGGAAGAAGCUGAUAUUUUCCAGUUAGGGCAUUUGAGCUGUAAGGCUUUAAACAGUGAGAUCUGUGAUUUUUUGUGUGUCUACUUUGAUUCUUCUCAUCAUUGCAUACCCCCCCUCCGCCCCCCUGCCAAGGUGAAUGUGUAUACCUUUUACUUGUUCAUAUCUCUUCUUCCUUCUCUUGGUAAUAUCAUCCCAAUGUUUUAUAUGGAGAUGAUUUUUAUUUUUUUACAGAAAGUGAAAUGUACAGAUUUUAAGUGCAUAAUUCAUUGUUUUAACAAAUACUUAUACUAUAUAACUAUCAUCUCAAUCAGAAUAAAAAAUAUUUGCAUCACCCCAGAAAGUUCCUUUAUGCUCCCAGCAAGUCAACUCUCAACCCACAUGCGACCAAGCAAGUGGUCGGGUUGCUUGCCUCACAGUGGAAAGAUCAAAUACUGAGGCAACAGACUUCUACAGGAAGAAAAGACUUUAUUUCUGGGUGGCCAAACAAAGAGACAGGAGGCAAUGCUCAGAUCUGUCUCCCUCAUUGAUUGGCUACUGAGCAGGGUAUUAAUAAUCUUGGAAGAGGGGAGCAAGAUGAGGAGGGGGCUUUGAGAACGAUUGGUGGAAAAGUGUAAAUUUCCAUGUAAGUUUGAAAAGUGCUCUGCACAGGCAGGCAUGACUGCUCUUCAUGCCUCUUCAUAGGUCACAUGUGCAAAUUUGGGGUCAGGGGAGGGGAUUCCUUCUGUAACACAUAGUGCAUUUUCAGUUUAUGAAGUCUCAGGUUCACUAGCAGACAUCCUAGUCCCUUAAAGUGCCCUAGUCUCAUUUGUGUUAUGCUUAGUCAGGGUGCUGUUAGCAAGUUGCUUCUAUAGCUGUGGGUUUCCCUGGUGUUCUGCAAAACAGGCCUGGUUUUCUUGGUGUAUCCUUUUCUUUCUACCUUAUGGACCUUGUACAGUACAGGGUACAGUUUUACAUGUACAGUGUUGUGUUUUUCCAUCACCAUGGAUUGCUUUGCCUGUGUUUGAACAUCAUACAUAUGGAAUCAUGUAGUACUUAGUUCACUGUAUCUGACUUCUUUUGCUCAACAUGUUUUUGGGACUCAUUCAGUUGCUAUGUGUAUCAGUUGUGUUAUGCAACUGAACUAGGGUCUGUUCCUCGCCUUGCAGCAAAGCCAAUCUGCGGACACCAGGUUGUGGUGAUGGCUUUCAGGGAGGGGUUUUAAAGGCAACAUUUAAGGGGGAGGGCUGCAAAAGGUAUGAUUUUCUUCUGACUGGUUGGUGGAGAGGUAACAGGGUGAUGUUUGGGAAUCUUAAUCGUCAACUUUCUGGUUCCAGCCAGUCUGGGGUCUAUGUGCUUGUGGUCAGCAUAUGAUCACCAUCCUCUACCUGGGCAGAGGUCUUACUUUCUGCAUAAAACUCAAAAAUGUGCAUCAGAGUGUUAUGUAUAUUCCUUAAGGAGGAACUAGGAUUCUAUCAUAUGGCUGAACUAUUGUUUUUGACUUGUUUUCCUUUGCUUCUGCACUCCCUCACUUCCCUAAUUAGUAACUGCUUGAGUCUGCUCUUUGGAACUCAGGGAAGGCCUGGGAGACCAAGGCCUCUUUCUACAAACAAGAAACAGGGGACACAGAGGGGCUUUUGUACCCAGGAGUUCCCUACAGUGUCCCUCAGUUUCAAUCCCCCCUUUUCUCUGAUACUCCUCAAUCCUGAGGGAAAUAUAGGAGGCACAAGUGUCUACUUUUCUGUUGAUGGGCAUUUGUAUUGUUUCCAAUGUAUUACCUGUUAUGAAUAACAUUGCUAUAAACUUUCUUGUACUAGUCUUUUUUGUAGAUAUACUUUCAAAUCUUUUGCAUGAAUACCUAGGAGUGAAAUUACUAGGUUUAGAGUGGUGUGUUUAACUCUAUAAGUGUUUAUAAGGUGUUUAACUCUGUAAGAAGCUGACAAAUAAUUUUUUAAAGUGUUUGCAUCAUUUUACAAUUUUACCAGAAAUAUAUGCUCUUCCAAUGUUCAUAUUCUUGUUAAUAUUUUCCACUGUCAUUGAAAUUUUAGCCAUUCUAGUGGAUAUGAAAUGGUAACCUAUUGUAGUUUUAAUUUGCAUUUCCCUAAUAUCUAAAGAGAUUGAGAAUAUUUUCAUUGCUUAUUGGCCAUUUGUAUAUAUUUCUUUGUGAAGUGUUCGUUUAAGUCCUUUCUUUUUUGUAACUGUUUUGACAUUAAAAGAUUUUUUAAUAUAUUUAUAUAUUAGUUCAUUGUUGGAUAAAUAUAUUUAUGCAAUACAAUAUUAAUCAAUAUUGAUAUUAAUAUUUAUUAAUGUACAUAUGUUUAUAUAUUUUGUAUGAGGAGAAGGGUACAGCAGAGGAUGAGGUGGUUGAUGACAUCAUCAACUCAAUGGACAUGAGUUUGUGCAAACUCCAGGAGACAGUGAAGGCUGGGGAAGCCUGGUGUGCUGCAGUCCAUGGGGUUGCCAAACAGUCGGACAUGAGUGAGCGAGUCGCUUAGUCAUGUCUGACUCUUUGGCGACCCUAUGGACUGUAAGCCGUCAGACUCCUCUGUCCAUGGGAUUUCCCAGGCAAGAAUACUGGAAUGGGUUGCCAUUUCCUUCUCCAUGGGAUAUUCCUGACCUAGGGAUUGAACCCGCAUCUCCUGCAUGGCCGGUGGAUUCUUUACCACUGAGUCACCAGGGAAGCCCUAUAUUUUAUAUAUAUAGUAACUAUUUCUCCCAGUAUUUUUAUUAUUCUCUGAGAAUUUCUGGAUUCUAGGUAUGUGUUUAUUUGGCUAAGUGAUUCCAGAUUGCUCUCUAGAAUAGCAAUAGUCUGCACUCCUGUCAGAAGUGUGUAUUCCUCCAAAUAUUUUGCAUUAUUCAGUUUUCGACUUGUUACUAAUCUACAAGGGUAAGAAUCCAUUGUUGUAUUUUUCAUUUCUCUGAUUUUCAGUGAAUUGGAAAUCUCUUCCAUGCAGGUUAGCCUUUUCAGUUUUUUUCUUUUAUAAACUGCUUGUUCAUAUUCUCUGGCCAUUUGGCCUAUUGAGCUGAUUUCCUUUAUCUUAUUGAUUUGCAGGAGUUAUUAUAUAUUCUGUAUAUUAAUCACUUUUCAGCUUAAGAAACUGAAAAUAUCUUAUUUUUAAUUUAUCAACUUUAUCCAUGUUGUCCUCUGUUGAAAAAUAAUAAUUUUGAGGUAAUAAAAGAUAUCAUUUAUUUUGCUAGAUCACAGAGAUAUUUUCUUCUAUUAACUUUGCAUUUAAUCUUUCAUAUUUAGGUCUGUAAUCCAUCUGGAGUCUAUCUUUGUUGCCCAUUCUCCUCCUUCCCUCAGUCUUUCCUAGUAUUAGGGUCUUUUCGAAUGAGUUGGCUCUUCACAUCAGGUGGCCAAAGUAUUGGAGCUUCAGCUUCAGUAUCAGUCCUGUUUGUAUAUUCACUUUGCUAUUAAUGAUAUCUUUAUAAUAUUAAGUUGUCAUUUUCAAGUGUAGUGAAGUGACUUUCCAUUUAUGUGGUGAAUCUUCUAUUUUCUUUAAUGGAGUUUUAAGGUAUUCUCCACAGUGUUUUUUUAAUAUCCCUAUUAAAUGAAAUGCCAGAUAUUUUAUAAUUUUUUUACUCUGCUUAUUUUUUUUUAUUACAUUUUCUACUUAACUAUUGCUGGUGUGAGAAAUACUGCUGAUGUUUAUUGAUGAUUUUGUAUUUGUUAAUUUUGCUCUACUCUCCAAUUCUCAACUGUCUGUUUUUAAUAUACUUGUAUUUUCUAGUUUGAUGAUCAUAUCAUCUGUAAAUAAUACUUUUAUUUCUUCUCAGCCUAUCCUGAUACCUGCUAUUUCUUUUCCUUUAGUUUUAGAGUUAACUAUAACCUCUAAAACUAUGCUAAACCAUAUUGGAACUCUGCUUUUAUUCUUUACCUAAAGAGGAAUAUGCGUACUUUUGUCCCAUUAAGUAUAUACUUGCCCUAGAGUUUUGGUAUAACCUCUACCAAGUUAAGAAAGCUCUAUUUGAUUUCUAAGUGUUACUAAGAGUUUUAAAUAAUCAAAAGUGAUAAACUUUUUCAUCUUAGCUUUAAAAAAAAUUGUGAUAAAAUACACAUAACGUAAAAUUUAGACCCUCCCAACAGAACUGGCCUCCCAGAGAUGUGUUACUUUGGCAUAUAGAUUAUUUUGAACUAAAGGCAAUGGAGAUCCUGAGGGAUCAAGAAAAACUACUCCUUUAAUAUAAUUAGCACAGGUAAGAAAAUGUGAAAUUAUCUUUUAGAGGAGAUACCCAUGGAUUUGGGGCUUCCUAGGUGGCACUAAUGGUAAAGAACCUGCUUGCCAAUGCAGGAGACAUAAGAGACUCCAGUUCAGUCCCUGGGUCAGGAAGAUCCCCUGGAAGAGGGCAUGGCAUCCUACUCAAGUAUUCUUGCCUGGAGAAUCCCAUGGACAGAGGAGCCUGGUGGGCUGCAGACCAUGGCAUUACAAAGAGUUGGACAUGACUAAAGGAACUUAGCAUGCAUGCAUGCAUACCUUUACUGGUCAAAUGAUCUUGUGUAAAAUGAAACUCUGUACACGGAAUGAAAUAAACCAAAGGAUGAGUUUAUUGCAAGACUUUUGACCUGAAAGCCAGGCAACUAAAAGCUGUGAGAGCAAUGAGGUCUUGGCUGCUCAUAGGCUGAGGGGUUUUUGUGCGAAUAAAUAUGAAAGUUGGUGGACCUUUUCCACUGAUUGCUUCCCCAGUGGUCUUUUCUUUUCUUAUUUGCUCAAGGUAGGUAAGUCAGGUGACAAGGAAGUCCAGAGACAGCAUGAACAGAAUUGUUGUUUGGGGACUGGCUGACGUCCUCUGCUGCUUUCUGAGAAAAGACGUAAAUUCCUGUAAGUUUUCUGAGAAGAGUUGUAAGUUCCUGUAAGAUUAAGUUUUCUGCAUUGAUCAUCUCCAUUUUGCUCCUGGCAUAAGUGACUUCAUUUUAGUUUGGAAAUUCAGUAUGGUAUCUAUGGUGGUUUAGUUGCUAAGUCGUGUUUGACUCCUGUGACCCAGCGGACUGUAGUAUGCCAGACUCCUAUGUCCAUGGGAUAUUUCAGGCAAGAAUAUUGGAGGUUACCAUUUCCUUCUUCAGUAGUGAUAUCUAUAAUUUAUGUUUAAUAAUUCUGAUUAAUCAAUAUUUGUCAUCCCUGCUAGAUUAUAAGCUUCACAAAGGAGGAGAAUGUCUGUUUUAUUUUCUACUGUAUCCCUGACCCAUAAUAGAUGCUCAGUAGAUAUUUUUUGACUGAUUGAGUGAGUAAAUGAAUAUGUAGGAAUCACACAGAGAAAAGAGCAGCUAGAAGAGCAGUCAGAUCACUCAGGGACAAUAGCCAGCAGUCCUGUACAUGAGUGCUGGUGGGGGUAAAGGGUUGUAGAUGCU